rnacentral:tRNA from 1 species
GCCCCUAUAGCUCAGUGGUAGAGCGCGUCACUCGUAUGCCAUAAUGCGAUAUGACGAGGUCCAUCGUUCAAUCCGGUGUGGGGGCA